AUUGAACGCUGGCGGCAGGCUUAACACAUGCAAGUCGAGCGGAGCGAGGGUGCUUGCACCUUAGCUUAGCGGCGGACGGGUGAGUAAUGCUUAGGAAUCUGCCUAUUAGUGGGGGACAACAUUCCGAAAGGAAUGCUAAUACCGCAUACGCCCUACGGGGGAAAGCAGGGGAUCUUCGGACCUUGCGCUAAUAGAUGAGCCUAAGUCGGAUUAGCUAGUUGGUGGGGUAAAGGCCUACCAAGGCGACGAUCUGUAGCGGGUCUGAGAGGAUGAUCCGCCACACUGGGACUGAGACACGGCCCAGACUCCUACGGGAGGCAGCAGUGGGGAAUAUUGGACAAUGGGCGGAAGCCUGAUCCAGCCAUGCCGCGUGUGUGAAGAAGGCCUUUUGGUUGUAAAGCACUUUAAGCGAGGAGGAGGCUACUUAGAUUUAUACUCUGGGAUAGUGGACGUUACUCGCAGAAUAAGCACCGGCUAACUACGUGCCAGCAGCCGCCGUAA
rnacentral:rRNA from 1 species